rnacentral:rRNA from 1 species
GAUGAACGCUGGCGGCGUGCCUAAUACAUGCAAGUCGAGCGAACAGACGAGGAGCUUGCUCCUCUGACGUUAGCGGCGGACGGGUGAGUAACACGUGGAUAACCUACCUAUAAGACUGGGAUAACUUCGGGAAACCGGAGCUAAUACCGGAUAAUAUAUUGAACCGCAUGGUUCAAUAGUGAAAGACGGUUUUGCUGUCACUUAUAGAUGGAUCCGCGCCGCAUUAGCUAGUUGGUAAGGUAACGGCUUACCAAGGCAACGAUGCGUAGCCGACCUGAGAGGUGAUCCGCCACACUGGAACUGAGACACGGUCCAGACUCCUACGGGAGGCAGCAGUAGGGAAUCUUCCGCAAUGGGCGAAAGCCUGACGGAGCAACGCCGCGUGAGUGAUGAAGGUCUUCGGAUCGUAAAACUCUGUUAUUAGGGAAGAACAAAUGUGUAAGUAACUAUGCACGUCUUGACGGUACCUAAUCAGAAAGCCACGGCUAACUACGUG